rnacentral:rRNA from 1 species
UGCCAGCAGCCGCGGUAAUACGGAGGGUGCAAGCGUUGUUCGGAAUUAUUGGGCGUAAAGCGCGUGUAGGCGGUUCGUUAAGUCUGAUGUGAAAGCCCGGGGCUCAACCCCGGAAGUGCAUUGGAAACUGGCGAACUUGAGUACGGGAGAGGAAAGUGGAAUUCCGAGUGUAGGGGUGAAAUCCGUAGAUAUUCGGGGGAACACCAGUGGCGAAAGCGACUCUCUGGGCCGAUCCUGACGCUGAGGUGCGAAAGCUAGGGUAGCGAACGGGAUUAGAUA